CAGUGAGCCCAGAUUACAACACUGCACUCCAGUCUGGGCAACAGAGUGAGACUCCGUCUCAAAAAAAAUAAUUUGCACGGUGAGUAAGAGGAUGGAGGUCAGGCUCUGGGUCGGGGAUGGUGUAAUUGCAGCUGGAGGCUGGAAACACUGGCUGCUUCCUGGGGACCAUGUUUUGCUUGCUGCUCUAUCUCCAGUGUCCUGUCCAGAACAGUGCCUGGGGAAUGAAUGGUGGGUUGAGUCUUGGCAUUUUGUUGGAGGGAUAAGAAGGAAGGAACCAAGAAAGGAAGACACUGAGAGGUAAUUUGUGUGCCAUUUUCAUGGGACACUUGGGAGCCAGAUUAGAAGAAGCCAAGACUGGAAUCAGGGAGAUGAGUUGAAAGAGGGAGGUCGUGAGAGGUCUGAAGGAAGGUUGGAAAAGGUGGGACAGAUUUCAGACACAUUUAGGGGUGGAACUGGUUGGACUCAGGGUGGUUGGAUACGGGGAGUUUAAAGAGGAAGGAAUGCGGGGUGAAUUAGGUGGUGAGUCAGUGGGUAUUGGUGACUGAAAUCACCACUGCUGGAAAUACAGUAGACAACAAAAGUUGCUAAAGGGAGGAUGAUUUACUUUGUUAUGUUUAGAAUUUGAAGCUGCUGUGAGACACGGCGGUGAGGAUGUGCAGUGAGUCACUGGACCUAUGUGAUUCUGCCCUAAGAAUGUAUAUUUGAGCUUUAUCAUUAGAAAGGAUGGACUUGCAGAGCAAGACUGUGUAAAACUUGGAAGUGCCUGGGACAGAGGCUGUGGGACACACAGUGUGGAAUGGGCAGGGGUGGAGGCUGUUUGAAGAUUUCGAGGGAGCACUCUCACAGUGAGAGGACAGUCGGGGAAAGUGCUGUCCCGUUGGAGGAGAGCGUUCAGUAGGAGAGUGGCUGACUGCCACUAACUGCAGGGCAGGCAAGCUCAAGGCCCAGCCUGUGGCUGUGGGAAUGUCAGGAGCUGAGAAGAAAAAGUCUCCAGUGGCACUCAAGCAGGAAAUGUGGUAGAGAUUUGGAGGCUUGACUUUUCAGAACUUGACUGAGAAGUGAAGGAUAGAGAGAGGGGUUCUGAUAUGCAGCAGGCACGUUGCUGUCACCCCCCUUCACAAAGGGAAGAGAAGCAAAGCCAUGGACGCUGACCUGGACUUCACCAGUUCCCCGCUAUGGUUGAGCUGCCGUCGAGAGUGUGGAUUUGCAAAUAAAGAUGUUUUUUAGCCCAAGGUUUUCUAGGCCUAUUCUUUCUCUGUUAGUUUCCUUGCUGUGUAACAAAUCACCAGAAAUGUAGCAGCUUAAGACAACACAUAUUGACUCUAUCACAGUUUCUGUGGGGCAUAAGUCGGAGCAUGGCUUGACUGGGUCCUGUGCUUCCCAGUCUCUGACGAGGCUGCAGUCAACGUACUGCCCUGGCUGGGGUCUCAUCUGAAGACUUGCCUGGGGAGGAUCCCCUUCCAGGUUCCCUCGCAGAACCUGGGUGUUGGAAGGAUUCUGUUUCUUUCAAGUUACAGGACUGAGGGCCACAGUUCCUUCCUUGCUGGCUGCUGACUGGAGUCUGCCCCGAGAUCUGUGUCAUGUGGCUUCUUCUAGCAUGGUAGUUACUACAUCAGAGUCAGCCAGAGAGAGACAACGUCCAAGGGGAAGUCACUGUCUCAUGCUGCCUUAGCACAGAGGUGACGUCACCUGUGCACGAUUCCGUUGAUUAUCAGCAAGUCACAGGCCCCACCUGCACUUAGAAGAGGAGAUUACAUAAGAGUAUGGGUACCAGGAGGCGGGAAUUAUUGGGUGGGUGAGAAUCUUAGACCUGCCUGCCUCAGAGCAGGACUCCAUGGUACAUCUCCUAAUUGUGAAACUUUUGCAGCAUGCCUUCAGCACGUUGGGGCCAUGGUGGAAGGGAGCGAUUUGCUUCACUGCCAGAUGAGAUUUUCACAGUGAAGGUGAGAUGUGAACUGGUUUUUGAAGUGGUAGCUCCGGAAUUGCCACACAUAAAAGGCGGUUAGGGUAACAGUCUGGUUGGAAGCAGGGUGCAUCACAAACGCAGCGUACUUGGGGUAGCUUGAGCAGUUGAGCUGAAGCCUUGUCAAGCUGUGCCUUGAGAGUGACCUUGCUCUGAAGGAUGCAAAGACUUAGUUCCAUAAAGAAGAGACAAGGACACAGGAUGAAGUGGAUCAUUCUAGGCGGAAGGAACAGCAGGGGCAGAGAUGCUGGAACUUGGCAAAGCUUGAUGUAUUUCGGGGGGAAGAUGAGUAGUUUCCUGAGGAUGGAUUUUAAGGCACGUAAAAAGCCAGGAGGCACAAUAAAGCUGGGAGGGUGGCAUAGGGGCAGGCCAUGCACUUAGAGGAGAUGGAGCCUGGUCCUAAGGGCAGAUGGGCUUUGUUGGCCCUCAGAGGAGAUAGAGCCCAGUCCUCAGGGCAGAAAGACUUUUGGGGCCUUGAGAAGAUGGAAGUCCUGUCCUGAGGGCAGGAGGGCUGUGUUCCUCAGAGGAGAUGGAGCCUGGCUGUGGACGGGAAAGCUUUGUCCUGCUCUGACUUUUGGGACUAAUCCUACUCAUAUAUGAUUUGACAAUUUCAGAGACUUGCACUAUUUGACAGAUGGUAUUUUAAAAAGUUUUCAAAUUGGAAGUGAUUAAUUUUGAACUCUGUUUUUCUUGGUAUAUUUGUGUUUUGCCCUUAACAUGAUCCUUUGUUAAACACUUUUUGCAAAACAUUUAGGAGCAAGACUGUCCUUUCCACUUAUGAAGUAUUACUCUCUGUUCAGAGGGGUGCUUUGAAUGAAACCGAUAAGUAGGUGUUUUCAGAAUGACUUUUCCUGUUUGCCUUCUUCAUAUCACAGUUCUGAGAAUGACUGUAUUUUUUGAUCCAUGUGUAGGCACGUUUGCCCUUCUCAGCUGGGGCUGCUGCUUGGGUAAGACUCUUUUCUGCCCUCUCAGUUGUUUAUUGCUUCAAUUUUUCUCCCUUUUCCUCACGUUGUGCCCCUUACACUUUCUUUCUACUUAAUGUAUCUUCUUCUUCUUCUUGACUCCUUGUUACUUUGAGAAUGUCAGUGAACAAUGAUCUGUGUGGAGUGCUGUGGGAUGAUAGACUGGUGAAGCAGGCAGGGGAUGAGGAGGCAAGUGAGGAAACCCAGAGCCCCCCUGCCUUGCAGAGGCUGCACCUGGACUGGGGCAAUGAGUUGAGACAUCAGUAUUUGGAUUUCAUGGGUCUGAGAGAUGGCCGGGGGGCAGGGUCUAUUGAGGGCUGAUAAACAGAAGAGGAUGGUUGGAAACACGGAUUACAAGCCUAGGAGUCAGAAGCUCCAGGUGCCCAUCUCUGCCAGGGCCUUCAGUAGGUAUAGGGUGAGGCACUUCUACUUUCCCUGAUAAUCAGUUUCCUGGUCUGUGAGAUAAUGGAAAUAACUAUCCAUUCUACCAGUGGACAGGCCCAUUGUGAAGGUAAAAUAAGAUAGGAUGAUAUAAAGGCCCCUUGUAAGGGAUGAAGUCCAAUGUGUAGAAUAAAGCUGCCCCACACCCUUAGGUUGCAGUGUGGCCUAGUUGGUCAUAUUGGGCUAUCUCAUAGGCUCGUGUGGUCCAUCUGCAUGGAGGACUGGUUCUACCUGAGGAUAAGUAACGUGAAAGAUGAUUUCAAUACUAAAAUAAUCACAGACAUAUACACAUUGUCUUGUGCAAUAGAAUGACCUUUAUUUUAAAGAUAAAACAUGACACAGACAAGCUGCCGUUAUCUCUCUGUGCUCUUCCUGGGUUACUUAUUUACACACUUUUGUCUAUUAGACCAUUUCAGUCACAAACCUUGAGAGCUGUUGGUACAGUCAGAAGCUUUAAAUCUCUUUGGGCCUCAGGUUCCUCCUCUCUCCUGUAGAAACCAAAUGCUAGGUUUUGGUGAGAAUUAAAUGAGGGAACAUCCGGCACAGGUGAUGGCUAAGUUCCUCUUCCUACUGUGAUGAUAGUAAGUGAUGAUGGAUAGUCCCUCCUGUAGUUUGGAAGGAGGAGGUUAAUUCUGGGUGGAAGUUGGUCAGCAGAAGUUCCAGAAAGUAAGGAAACUUGGCUACGAAAGAGGGAUGAAAUUUUGAUAGUGGACAAGAGGCCGUUUCAGAUGGAGAGAAAGCCCAGAUAUGGCUGGAGAGGCAGGCAGGGGUGAGGCGGCAGCAGCAGCUGGGCCAUGGGGAAGUGUGACAUGGGGACUGGGCAGGGCCAGCAGGGAAGUCCCUGAGUUACUUGUGCCGAGCAGGGAUUUGGACAUCAGCUUUUGAAAAGGCAGGACUUUAGAAAGGUGUGUGUGGUGGUGGGGUGCAGUGUUCAUAUGGUAACAAUUUCCUGGUGUGCUGAUGCUCAUGGUUCCCCCACCCCUCAGCAGGUAUCUAGGAAGAUCAUCUUGGGCAUAAAGUGACCUACCUCCGCCCUCCCCUUUGUCAGAAGCUCUUGCUCCUGGCUCUCAGGGUUGGGUUUUCUGCUGCUGCUGCUGCUGCUGACUUUACCCUGCAGUUGGUUGAAGGGUUUCCAGUUAGUCUCUGGAGGGUGACUGUGCAGGACCUGGUCUCACCUGAGCUUGGGGCCUUGCUCCAGGGGCCUUGUUGUGGAGGUCAUGAUGUUUCUGGGGUUGUGGAUCUCAUGACACGUGGCAGAACUUCGUGGAAGGAUGCUGGAGUUACAGCAUUUGCUCUUACCCACAUGUUGCUCUUUUCCUCCUUGAUUUGGAGAUCCUUAAUUAUGUUAUCUUUUUACAACCGAUGCUGGCUUUGAUUUCUGUACAUUGGAUGAAAGUGAAACCUUCAAAAAGCUUAAAAUGAGUUAGCUUUUUCCUGUUCGCCCCCUUCUUUAUUGGUGAUUUACAGGUUCAUGAUCUAUAAUAUUCAGUUUAAAGUUUUAUGUUUGGCAUCUGUAUUAGUUUGUUCUCAUGCUGCUAAUAAAGAUUUACCUGAGACUGGGUAAUUUAUAAAGAAAAAGAGGUUUGAUGGACUCACAUUUCCACAUGGCUGGGUGGCCUCACAGUAAUGGUGGAAGGCGGAAGACACGUCUUACAUGGCAGCAGGCCAGAGAAGAAAUGACAGCAGGGGAAAUGCCUGAUGCUUAUAAAACCAUCAGAUCUUAUGAAAACUCACUGUCAUGAGAGCAGUAUGGGAGAAACCAUCCCCAUGAUUCAGUUUUCUCCACCUGGCCCCGCCAAUAACACAUGGGAUUAUUACAGUUCAAGGUGAAAUUUGGGUGGGGAUGCAGAGCCAGACCGUGUCAGUGUCACUUGACCAAACUGGGUUUACAAUGCCAGGAUCCUUGAGGGUCUGAGGUCACAUUUGCUGUGUCUUCAGGCAAAGGCCUAAUGAUUUGAAAUCAGAUUGUUCCCUAGCUGUGGCCUUAGGAUCAACAUUCAUAGAAGAGUUUCCAAUAAAUUAUUAUUUGACUGUCAAAAGUAUCUUUUUCAGGCUGGGUACAGUGGCUCACACCCAUAAUGCCAGCACUUUGGGAGGUG